rnacentral:tRNA from 10 species
UAGAAAAUAAUAUAGAGGAAGUAUGGAGGGGUUUGAUCUCUUUUGUGUAGGUUCGAGUCCUACUUUUCUAA